rnacentral:rRNA from 1 species
GAUGAACGCUGGCGGCGUGCCUAAUACAUGCAAGUCGAGCGAAUGGAUUAAGAGCUUGCUCUUAUGAAGUUAGCGGCGGACGGGUGAGUAACACGUGGGUAACCUGCCCAUAAGACUGGGAUAACUCCGGGAAACCGGGGCUAAUACCGGAUAACAUUUUGAACCGCAUGGUUCGAAAUUGAAAGGCGGCUUCGGCUGUCACUUAUGGAUGGACCCGCGUCGCAAUAGCUAGUUGGUGAGGUAACGGCUCACCAAGGCAACGAUGCGUAGCCGACCUGAGAGGGUGAUCGGCCACACUGGGGCUGAGACACGGCCCAGACUCCUACGGGAGGCAGCAGUAGGGAAUCUUCCGCAAUGGACGAAAGUCUGACGGAGCAACGCCGCGUGAGUGAUGAAGGCUUUCGGGUCGUAAAACUCUGUUGUUAGGGAAGAACAAGUGCUAGUUGAAUAAGCUGGCACCUUGACGGUACCUAACCAGAAAGCCACGGCUAACUACGUGCCAGCAGCCGCGGUAA